GACGAACGCUGGCGGCGUGCUUAACACAUGCAAGUCGAACGGAAAGGCCCUGCGUUUGUGGGGUGCUCGAGUGGCGAACGGGUGAGUAACACGUGAGUAAAAUGCCCUUGACUUUGGGAUAACUUUAGGAAACUGGGGCUAAUACCGGAUAGGAGCUCCUGCUGCAUGGUGGGGGUUGGGAAGUUACGGCGGUUGGGGAUGGACUCGCGGCUUACGAGCUUGUUGGUGGGGUAGUGGCUUACCAAGGCUUUGAAGGGUAGCCGGCCUGAGAGGGUGACCGGCCUCAUUGCGCCUGCGAUACGGCGCAGUCGCCUACGUGAGGCAGCAGUCGGGAAUAUUGCACAAUGGGCCCACGCCUGAUGCAGCAACGCCGCGUGCGGGAUGCCCGCCUUCUGGUUGUAAACCGCUUUCUCCUUUGACGAAGCCUGAGUGACGGUAAUUGGUAAAGAAGCACCGGCUAACUACGUG
rnacentral:rRNA from 1 species